AGCUGUGUAGCAUAGUGGGAAUGCGCCGGGCUCAUAGAUACUUGUCUCCGUUGAUCCCGGAGAUCGCUGGAUCGAAACCAGCCACAGCUA